GGGUUGUGAGGUUAAGCGACUAAGCGUACACGGUGGAUGCCCUGGCAGUCAGAGGCGAUGAAGGACGUGCUAAUCUGCGAAAAGCGUCGGUAAGGUGAUAUGAACCGUUAUAACCGGCGAUGUCCGAAUGGGGAAACCCAGUGCAAUUCGUUGCACUAUCGUUAACUGAAUACAUAGGUUAACGAGGCGAACCGGGGGAACUGAAACAUCUAAGUACCCCGAGGAAAAGAAAUCAACCGAGAUUCCCCCAGUAGCGGCGAGCGAACGGGGAGCAGCCCAGAGUCUGAAUCAGCUUGUGUGUUAGUGGAACGGUCUGGAAAGUCCGACGGUACAGGGUGAUAGUCCCGUACACCAAAAUGCACAGGCUGUGAACUCGAAGAGUAGGGCGGGACACGUGGUAUCCUGUCUGAAUAUGGGGGGACCAUCCUCCAAGGCUAAAUACUCCUGACUGACCGAUAGUGAACCAGUACCGUGAGGGAAAGGCGAAAAGAACCCCGGCGAGGGGAGUGAAAAAGAACCUGAAACCGUGUACGUACAAGCAGUGGGAGCACCUUCGGGUGUGACUGCGUACCUUUUGUAUAAUGGGUCAGCGACUUAUAUUCUGUAGCAAGGUUAACCGUAUAGGGGAGCCGCAGGGAAACCGAGUCUUAACUGGGCGUUAAGUUGCAGGGUAUAGACCCGAAACCCGGUGAUCUAGCCAUGGGCAGGUUGAAGGUUGGGUAACACUAACUGGAGGACCGAACCGACUAAUGUUGAAAAAUUAGCGGAUGACUUGUGGCUGGGGGUGAAAGGCCAAUCAAACCGGGAGAUAGCUGGUUCUCCCCGAAAGCUAUUUAGGUAGCGCCUCGUGAAUUCAUCUUCGGGGGUAGAGCACUGUUUCGGCUAGGGGGUCAUCCCGACUUACCAACCCGAUGCAAACUACGAAUACCGAAGAAUGUUAUCACGGGAGACACACGGCGGGUGCUAACGUCCGUCGUGAAGAGGGAAACAACCCAGACCGCCAGCUAAGGUCCCAAAGUCAUGGUUAAGUGGGAAACGAUGUGGGAAGGCACAGACAGCCAGGAUGUUGGCUUAGAAGCAGCCAUCAUUUAAAGAAAGCGUAAUAGCUCACUGGUCGAGUCGGCCUGCGCGGAAGAUGUAACGGGGCUAAACCAUGCACCGAAGCUGCGGCAGCGACACUAUGUGUUGUUGGGUAGGGGAGCGUUCUGUAAGCCUGCGAAGGUGUGCNNNNNNNNNNNNNNNNNNNNNNNNNNNNNNNNNNNNNNNNNNNNNNNNNNNNNNNNNNNNNNNNNNNNNNNNNNNNNNNNNNNNNNNNNNNNNNNNCAAAUCGUACCCCAAACCGACACAGGUGGUCAGGUAGAGAAUACCAAGGCGCUUGAGAGAACUCGGGUGAAGGAACUAGGCAAAAUGGUGCCGUAACUUCGGGAGAAGGCACGCUGGUGUGUAGGUGAAGUCCCUGCGGAUGGAGCUGAGACCAGUCGAAGAUACCAGCUGGCUGCAACUGUUUAUUAAAAACACAGCACUGUGCAAACACGAAAGUGGACGUAUACGGUGUGACGCCUGCCCGGUGCCGGAAGGUUAAUUGAUGGGGUUAUCCGUAAGGAGAAGCUCUUGAUCGAAGCCCCGGUAAACGGCGGCCGUAACUAUAACGGUCCUAAGGUAGCGAAAUUCCUUGUCGGGUAAGUUCCGACCUGCACGAAUGGCGUAAUGAUGGCCAGGCUGUCUCCACCCGAGACUCAGUGAAAUUGAACUCGCUGUGAAGAUGCAGUGUACCCGCGGCAAGACGGAAAGACCCCGUGAACCUUUACUAUAGCUUGACACUGAACAUUGAGCCUUGAUGUGUAGGAUAGGUGGGAGGCUUUGAAGCGUGGACGCCAGUCUGCGUGGAGCCAACCUUGAAAUACCACCCUUUAAUGUUUGAUGUUCUAACGUUGGCCCCUGACCGGGGUUGCGGACAGUGUCUGGUGGGUAGUUUGACUGGGGCGGUCUCCUCCCAAAGCGUAACGGAGGAGCACGAAGGUUAGCUAAUCCUGGUCGGACAUCAGGAGGUUAGUGCAAUGGCAUAAGCUAGCUUGACUGCGAGCGUGACGGCGCGAGCAGGUGCGAAAGCAGGUCAUAGUGAUCCGGUGGUUCUGAAUGGAAGGGCCAUCGCUCAACGGAUAAAAGGUACUCCGGGGAUAACAGGCUGAUACCGCCCAAGAGUUCAUAUCGACGGCGGUGUUUGGCACCUCGAUGUCGGCUCAUCACAUCCUGGGGCUGAAGUAGGUCCCAAGGGUAUGGCUGUUCGCCAUUUAAAGUGGUACGCGAGCUGGGUUUAGAACGUCGUGAGACAGUUCGGUCCCUAUCUGCCGUGGGCGCUGGAGAAUUGAGGGGGGCUGCUCCUAGUACGAGAGGACCGGAGUGGACGCAUCACUGGUGUUCGGGUUGUCAUGCCAAUGGCACUGCCCGGUAGCUAAAUGCGGAAGAGAUAAGUGCUGAAAGCAUCUAAGCACGAAACUUGCCCCGAGAUGAGUUCUCCCUGAGACUUUAAGUCUCCUGAAGGAACGUUGAAGACGACGACGUUGAUAGGCCGGGUGUGUAAGCGCAGCGAUGCGUUGAGCUAACCGGUACUAAUGAACCGUGAGGCUUAACCUUACAACGCCGAAG
rnacentral:rRNA from 1 species